rnacentral:rRNA from 1 species
GCAUAUCCAUAAGCGGAGGAAAAGAAACUAACGAGGAUUCCCCUAGUAACUGCGAGUGAAGCGGGAAAAGCUCAAAUUUAAAAUCUGAUGGCCUUUGACCAUCCGAGUUGUAAUUUAGAGAAGCGUUUUCCGCGCCAGACCGUGCAAAAGUCUCCUGGAAUGGAGCGUCAUAGAGGGUGAGAAUCCCGUCUUUAGCAUGGAUGCUUGGUGCUUUUGUGAUGCGCUCUCAAAGAGUCGAGUUGUUUGGGAAUGCAGCUCAAAAUGGGUGGUGAACUCCAUCUAAAGCUAAAUAUUGGCGAGAGACCGAUAGCGAACAAGUACCGUGAGGGAAAGAUGAAAAGCACUUUGGAAAGAGAGUGAAACAGUACGUGAAAUUGUUGAAAGGGAAACGCUUGAAGUCAGUCGCGUCGACCAAGACUCAGCCCUUGCCCCCUUGGCUUGGUGUUCUUCUUGGCUGACGGGCCAGCAUCAAUUUCGUCUCUCGGAUAAUGACAGGAGAAAGGUGGCACCUUUGCGGGUGUGUUAUAGUCUCCUGUCGCGUGUGAGGGAUGGGAUUGAGGCACUCAGCACGCUCUUGUAGUCGGGGCUUUGGCCCACGUUACGUGCUAG